rnacentral:tRNA from 1 species
GCCUUCGUGGGGUAGUGGUCUACAUGCUCGACGCGCAACCGAGAGGUCCGUGGUUCGAUUCCCGGCGAAGGCU